GGGGAUAUGGCGAAAUCGGUAGACGCUACGGACUUAAAAUCCGUCGACUUUAUAAG
rnacentral:tRNA from 2 species